GACGUAGGGCGCGAGCGUUGUCCGGAAUUAUUGGGCGUAAAGAGCUCGUAGGCGGCUUGUUGCGUCAGCUGUGAAAACCCGCAGCUCAACUGUGGGCUUGCAGCUGAUACGGGCAGACUAGAGUGCGGUAGGGGAGAUUGGAAUUCCUGGUGUAGCGGUGGAAUGCGCAGAUAUCAGGAGGAACACCGAUGGCGAAGGCAGAUCUCUGGGCCGUAACUGACGCUGAGGAGCGAAAGCAUGGGAGCGAACAGG
rnacentral:rRNA from 1 species